UAUCAAGGAAGUUGCUACAUGUACUUUCGUUUUUUGAAGACGCCUGAAAUUCGUUUACUAUCCAAACUGCAACUAUUUAAAUCAUACAACCACAUGUGAAAGUAAUGAGUUGUGUACUAAAGAUAUUCGAGUAACUAUCGAAAAGGACUUUCUUUCAAGAGUCGCCAAAAGAUCACAAUAUAACAGUACCCAGAUGAAAACCACUUGCCUGGCUUACAAUACCACAGCACCAAGAUGAAAACCACUUGCCUGGCUCACAAUACCACAGUACCAAGAUGAAAACCACUUGCCUGGCUCACAAUACCACAGUACCCAGAUGAAAACCACUUGCCUGGCUUACAAUACCACAGUACCAAGAUGAAAACCACUUGCCUGGCUUACAAUACCACAGUACCAAGAUGAAAACCACUUGCCUGGCUUACAAUACCACAGUACCAAGAUGAAAACCACUUGCCUGGCUCACAAUACCACAGUACCAAGAUGAAAAUCACUUGCCUGGCUCACAAUACCACAGUACCAAGAUGAAAACCACUUGCUUGGCUCACAAUACCACAGUACCAAGAUGAAAACCACUUGCCUGACUCACAAUACCACAGUACCAAGAUGAAAACCACUUGCCUGGCUUACAAUACCACAGUACCAAGAUGAAAACCACUUGCCUGGCUUACAAUACCACAGUACCAAGAUGAAAACCACUUGCCUGGCUUACAAUACCACAGUACCAAGAUGAAAACCACUUGCCUGGCUCACAAUACCACAGUACCCAGAUGAAAACCACUUGCCUGGCUCACAAUACCACAGUACCAAGAUGAAAACCACUUGCUUGGCUCACAAUACCACAGUACAUAGAUGAAAACCACUUGCCUGGCUUACAAUACCACAGUACCAAGAUGAAAACCACUUGCCUGGCUUACAAUUCCACAGUACCAGAUGAAAACCACUUGCCUGGCUCACAAUACCACAGUACCAAGAUGAAAUCCACUUGCCUGGCUUACAAUACCACAGUACCAAGAUGAAAACUACUUGCCUGGCUUACAAUACCACAGUACCCAGAUGAAAACCACUUGCCUGGCUCACAAAAACACAGUUCCAUUGGGAAAAUCACUUGCCUGGGUCACAAAAUCACAGUACACAGGGGAAAAUCACUUGCCUGGCUCACAAAAUCACAGUACACAGGGCAAAAUCACUUCCCUGGCUCACAAAAUCACAGUACCAAGAUGAAAAUAAUUUGCAUGGAUCCAAAAUCACAGUAUCCAGAUGAAAACCACUUGCCUGGCUCACAAAAUCAGAGUUCCCAGAGGAAAAUCGCUUGCCUGGCUCACAAAAUCACAGUACCCAGAUGAAAAUCACUUGUCUGGCUCACAAAAUCACAGUUCCAAGAUAAAAAAAAACCCAUUUGCCUGGUUCGCAAAAUCACAGUACUAAGAGGAAAAUCACUUGUCUGCCUUGCAAAAUCACAGUACCAAGAUGAGAAAUCACAGUACCCAGAGGAAAAUCACUUGUCUGGCUCGCAAAAUCACAGCACCCAGAAGAAAAUCACUUGUCUGAACAGAUGAAAACCACUUGCAUGUCUAACAAAAUCACAGUACCCAGAUGAAAACCAUUUGCCUGGCUCACAAAAUCACAGUUCCCGAGAGGAAAACCACUUGCCUGGCUCACAAAAUCACAGUACCCAGAUGAAAACCACUUGCCUGGCUCACAAAAUCACAGUACCCAGAUGAAAACCACUUGCCUGGCUCACAAAAUCACAGUACCCAGAUGAAAACCACUUGCCUGGCUCACAAAAUCACAGUACCCAGUACUUACCUAUCUCACAAAGUACCACUAUCCAGAUGAAAUACUGCUGUACCAAGAUGAAAAUCACUGACUCACAAAAUCAACUAAAUUGAUAUAGCCUAGAUACCUACUGGUAUGUGUAGAUUUAUGUGUUAAUUUGCUGUUUUUAUUAAUAAACAUUAAAGUAAUGACCUCAUACUACUGUUUGCAAUCAAACUUUGGAAAACGUGCUUGACAAUCGUUUAAACAAAGCACGAUGCUAUUUUGCACUGAAGAGGCAAUCAAUUUGAACUGCCUCAACAGCGAAUUCGGGCUGUCAGUUUUAGUUCUUGAAACUAUUUUGUUUGUAAUUACGCGUUUUUACGAGUGUAAUUUAACGCUACAAUUUAUGGCCAGUUGAUGUAAAACCAUUGCAAAAUGUACAUGCAUUGAUACUUAACAUGUGUAGCUGUCUUUUCAUUUUUUAAAACUCACACCUUA